GCGCUUGCUUUGGCAACACAUAUACUAAAAUUGGAUGGAUAUAGAGAUUAACAAGGCCCCUGUGUAAGGGUGAUAUGCAAAUCUGUGAAGUGUUUAUUUAUUUA
ensembl:snRNA U6 U6 spliceosomal RNA